GCCGGCGUAGCUCAAUUGGUAGAGCAGCUGAUUUGUAAUCAGCAGGUCAGCGGUUCGAGUCCGCUCGCCGGCU
rnacentral:tRNA from 1 species